AAGAGAAAACAUAACUGGGACUGGGCGGGGGCAGCAGCCUCUGCUGUUGACAUAGAGGUUUGCCAUCUAUUUGGAUGGCGGCAUUCCGUCUGCAUUUUGAACGUACUGGCUCAGCCAUUCAAUAAAUUUUUAACUCUGUGAGAUCACAUAAUGCAUAAUUAGAAGUCACCUGCCUGCCACAGUACCUCCAAGCUUCAGAGAAGCUGCAGAGAGCAAAGUAAGGAGACGUCAGGCAGCCCCAGGGCAUGGAAGCCCCGGAAGUGGGUAGCUACUUUUCCAACUCAUUCUUUGGUGAUGAAUCCUCUGACUGGUCACCAGUUCAUGAUGCUGCCAGCCAUGGACGGCUCCUUGCAUUGCGCAAAUUGAUUGGCCAGGGAUGCAGUGUAAAUCUGCUAACGCUAGACAAAAUAUCUCCUCUCCAUGCUGCCUGCCAAAGUGGUCAUGCAGCCUGUGCAAAGCUAUUAAUUGAAAACGGUGCAAAGGUGAACACAACGUCCAUUGACUGGAACACUCCUCUGUACAACGCUUGUGUCAGCGGCAGCGCUACUUGCAUCAGUGUGCUUUUAGAAAAUGGUGCGACUGCUCAGGCAGAAAGCGAGUUAGCGUCUCCUCUCCAUGCAGUGGCGCAGAAAGGUCACACAGCAUGCAUUGAUCCAUUAACACAGCAUGGCGCAGACAUUGACUACAAUAUUAAACAUUUGGGGACACCCCUCUAUGCUGCUUCCGCAAAGCAACAUUUGGAGACGACUCGAAAACUGCUGGAAUUGGGUGCAAAUGUGAACACUGGUAAAGAACAGGACACCCCUCUUCAUGCUGCUGCUAGAAGCUUCAACUCUGACUUGGUCCAACUUCUUCUUGAUCAUGGUGCCAAUGUCAGAGCAAGGAAUGCUGAGGGCAAGUGCCCUUUGGAGCUGGCAGCACCAGGCAGUGAUGUGAGGAGACUACUUCUGCAGCGAGAAGGUAGAUUCAGUAUCCCUAAAUGAUAUGGACAUAACAAAUGGGAAAAAUGCCUACUGUUAAUGUAUCUAUUUAUAAUAAUUUAUAAUAAUUAUACAUAAUAAAUGUAUAACAAUAUAUGUUACACGAAUACAUUCAAAGCAAUUUUUUUUCCAAGUACAAUUCACUUAGAUGGUAUAGUGUGACCAGAAGCCCCAUAGAUUUGGAAAAUACAGAAAUGUAUAUGUUUAAUGGUAGCCUGCUGUUUAAUGUUUAAUUCGCUUGUUUGAAAUCUCUAUCAAUUCCAUCACUAAAAGUCAUUUGUGUAAGUCCAUGAUGGUGCAGUGGUUGUCCCACUGCAUUAGAGUCCUGACUUCAAAUUCUAGCACUGUUGCCCACUCUGUAGAAUUUAAUGUCCUCCCUGUGUUACAACAUAAAGAUAUGCAAGUCAGGUCAAUUGCCAGCACUAAACUAAGCAGGUGCCCUGUGACGGUUGGCCUCUGCCUUGUGCUUAAUGCUCUUAGGAUUUCUUCUGAUCCCGUGACCCCGAAGUGGAUUAAGCAGGAUGGACCUGUAAUUAAAAUAUCAGUGGAUUCAGAAAGUUUUCAGUGUCCUUCACUUUCAGCACACUUUAUAAUGCUGGAGAUGUCAUUUAAAAUGGAAUGGAUACAUUUUCCAUAAGGACAAACUGGCAACCUGUUCUACAAGGAGCACUUGAUGGACUGAUUGAAUGCGUUUAGAGUUCUUGGGAUGAAACUGUUUGUGAACAGCGAGGUCCGAACAGGAAAGGCUGUGAAGCGUUUGUCGGAUGAGAGUAGUUCAAAUAGGCAGCAAGGCUGAGGCAGCGUGUGCUUGAUGCUGUAUACUGAUAAUUCUCUUUCCGAUCAGCUCUGCUGCUGUUAUUCCCCACUCAGAUACAGUGAUAUAAAUACUCCGAGUGGUGCAGUGAGAGUAAUAUGGAAAAAGAUGAUCUGCUGUGGCAACACUUAAUGGGAGCAGCUGAAAGAAGAAGAAGAUGCAG